CGGCACAUCCGUUUAAAAAGGCAACGCGGGGUGUCCAAAGGGGAGCUCGGCGAGAAGGGAAAUCUCGCGUCGAACGAAAGGGUAAAAGCUCCCUUGAUUCCGAUCUUCAGUACUGAUACGAACCUCGAAAGAGUGGCCUAGCGAUCCUUUGGUCGUUCGCGACCUGAAGCCAGAGGUGUCAGAAAAGUUACCAAAGGGAUAACUGGCUUGUGGCGGCCAAGCGUUCUUAGCGACGUCGCUUUUUGAUCCUUCGAUGUCGGCUCUUCCUAUCAUUGUGAAGCAGAAUUCACCAAGUGUUGGAUUGUUCACCCUUCGAAAGGGAACGUGAGCUGGGUUUAGACCGUCGUGAGACAGGUUAGUUUUACCCUCCCGAUGAAAGGGAGGCGGCCGUAGCAGUAAUUGGACUCAGUACGAA
rnacentral:rRNA from 1 species